AUUUUGUUCCUGUCCAGUACACUCUAUGAUGUUCACAUAAUGAAGAAAUUGCCUGACGACGCAGUUCUCAGAAUGUUAUCCCCAUCGUUAAGC